rnacentral:rRNA from 1 species
GUAGGUGGCAAGCGUUGUCCGGAAUUAUUGGGCGUAAAGCGCGCGCAGGCGGGUUCUUUAAGUCUGAUGUGAAAGCCCACGGGCUCAACCGUGGAGGGUCAUUGGAAACUGGAGAACUUGAGUACGGAAGAGGAAAGCGGAAUUCCACGUGUAGCGGUGAAACGCGUAGAGAUGUGGAGGAACACCAGUGGCGAAGGCGGCUUUCUGGUCUGUAACUGACGCUGAGGCGCGAAAGCGUGGGGAGCAAACAGGAUUAGAUACCCUGGUAGUCCACGCCGUAAACGAUGAGUGCUAAGUGUUAGGGGGUUUCCGCCCCUUAGUGCUGCAGCUAACGCAUUAAGCACUCCGCCUGGGGAGUACGGCCGCAAAGGCUG